CAUCAAGGACUUUGACCCUCAAGGUCCGCGAAACUUCAUUGGUGCAGCCUAUCUCAGCCUUU
rnacentral:ribozyme from 1 species